AACGCGAAGAACCUUACCAGCUCUUGACAUGUCCGGUCUGGCCUUUGGAGACAGAGGCCUUCAGUUCGGCUGGCCGGAACACAGGUGCUGCAUGGCUGUCGUCAGCUCGUGUCGUGAGAUGUUGGGUUAAGUCCCGCAACGAGCGCAACCCUCGCCCCUAGUUGCCAUCAUUUGGUUGGGCACUCUAGGGGGACUGCCGGUGAUAAGCCGAGAGGAAGGUGGGGAUGACGUCAAGUCCUCAUGGCCCUUACGGGCUGGGCUACACACGUGCUACAAUGGCGGUGACAGUGGGAUGCAAAGGGGCGACCCCGUGCAAAUCUCAAAAAGCCGUCUCAGUUCGGAUUGCGCUCUGCAACUCGAGCGCAUGAAGGUGGAAUCGCUAGUAAUCGUAGAUCAGAACGCUACGGUGAAUACGUUCCCGGGCCUUGUACACACCGCUAGUC
rnacentral:rRNA from 1 species